rnacentral:rRNA from 1 species
GAUGAACGCUGGCGGCGUGCCUAAUACAUGCAAGUCGAGCGAACGGACGAGAAGCUUGCUUCUCUGAUGUUAGCGGCGGACGGGUGAGUAACACGUGGAUAACCUACCUAUAAGACUGGGAUAACUUCGGGAAACCGUAGCUAAUACCGGAUAAUAUUUUGAACCGCAUGGUUCAAAAGUGAAAGACGGUCUUGCUGUCACUUAUAGAUGGAUCCGCGCUGCAUUAGCUAGUUGGUAAGGUAACGGCUUACCAAGGCAACGAUGCAUGGCCGACCUGAGAGGGUGAUCGGCCACACUGGAACUGAGACACGGUCCAGACUCCUACGGGAGGCAGCAGUAGGGAAUCUUCCGCAAUGGGCGAAAGCCUGACGGAGCAACGCCGCGUGAGUGAUGAAGGUCUUCGGAUCGUAAAACUCUGUUAUUAGGGAAGAACAGAUGUGUAAGUAACUGUGCACAUCUUGACGGUACCUAAUCAGAAAGCCACGGCUAACUACGUG